rnacentral:rRNA from 1 species
CCUACGGGAGGCUGCAGUGAGGAAUAUUGGUCAAUGGACGAGAGUCUGAACCAGCCAAGUCGCGUGAGGGAAGAAUGUCCUAUGGGUUGUAAACUUCUUUUAUAUGGGAGUAAAACAGGGUAUGCAUACCCUCCUGUAUGUACCAUAUGAAUAAGGAUCGGCUAACUCCGUGCCAGCAGCCGCGGUAAUACGGAGGAUUCGAGCGUUAUCCGGAUUUGUUGGGGUUAAAGGGAGCGGAGGUGGAUUGUUAAGUCAGUUGUGAAAGUUGGGGGCUCAAACUUAAAAUUGCAGUUGAAACUGGCAGUCUUGAGUGCAUGAGAGGUGGGCGGAAUGCGAGGUGUAGCGGUGAAAUGCGUAGAUAUCACGAAGAACUCCGAUUGCGAAGGCAGCUCACUGGCCUGCAACUGACACUGAUGCUCGAAAGUGUGGGUAUCAAACAGGAUUAGAUACCCGAGUAGUC